AUGCGCGAAGCCUCUCUAGCUACUGCUGGCGUAGCACUGACAACUGUCAAUCAACCAAACACCACUUCUACUCUUGGCAAAAUGAAUUUCAGUAUUGACAUUCCUCAACGUCUAGAUCUAAUCCUUCGUCCUCCAAGAACAAGAAUUGUCCAAGCUCCACCGCUUAGAGUUUCAAUUCCUCCUCUUGGUGGGUCACUUGUGAUAUCACAUGAUUUUGUCAUCCUUUAA